CUUAUUAUUCUCUCGUGGGUCCUUCUCGCUAUAUUGUUCACUUGUGGGUCCUUCUCACUGUUAUUCUCUCGUGGGUCCUGCUUAGUGUUGUUCACUUGUGGGCCCUUUCACUAUUGUUUUCUUGUGGAUCCUGUUAUUAGUCUCUCGUGGGUACUGCUCAGUAUAUUAGACAGUUCUCUGGAUCCUAGCUGCUAUUUUUUUCUCACCUGAAUUAAAGCACAUAUUUUACUUGAUCCUGACUCUAUAUGCAAGUGUUUAUCUUUUGUCUUGUUGCUC